GUGUGUGUGUGUAUAUGUGUGUGUGUGUAUAUAUAUAUAUAUACUUAUAUAUAUAUAUAUAUACACACACACACACACGUAUUG